rnacentral:rRNA from 1 species
AUUGAACGCUGGCGGAAUGCUUUACACAUGCAAGUCGAACGGUAGAGGGGGCAACCCCUUGAGAGUGGCGAACGGGUGAGUAAUAUAUCGGAACGUGCCCAGUCGUGGGGAUAACGUAGCGAAAGUUACGCUAAUACCGCAUACGAUCUAAGGAUGAAAGCGGGGGACUCGCAAGAGCCUCGCGCGAUUGGAGCGGCCGAUAUCAGAUUAGGUAGUUGGUGGGGUAAAGGCUCACCAAGCCAACGAUCUGUAGCUGGUCUGAGAGGACGACCAGCCACACUGGAACUGAGACACGGUCCAGACUCCUACGGGAGGCAGCAGUGGGGAAUUUUGGACAAUGGACGCAAGUCUGAUCCAGCCAUUCCGCGUGCAGGAUGAAGGCCCUCGGGUUGUAAACUGCUUUGUACGGAACGAAAAGGUUUCUAUUAAUACUAGGUAGCUCAUGACGGUACCGUAAGGAAUAAGCACGGCUAACUACGUGCCAGCAG